UUCCGGUUGAUCCUGCCGGACCUUACUGCUAUCGGGAUGAGACUAAGCCAUGCAUGUCGAGCGCUCUUCAGCUAUGUAGAGAGCGCGGCGAACGGCUCAAUAACACGUAGUUAACCUACCCUCGGGAUGGGAAUAACCCCGGGAAACUGGGAUUAAUACCCACUAGAUGAUUAUACCUGGAAUGGCUUAUCAUCGAAAGAGUCUGGAAACAUGCUUCCAGCGUCGCCCGAGGAUGGGACCGCGUCCGAUCAGGUAGUUGGUGGGGUAAUGGCCUACCAAGCCUAUAACCGAUACGGGCCCUGAGAGGGGGAGCCCGGAGAUGGAAACUGAGAAAAGGUUCCAGGCCCUACGGGGUGCAGCAGGCGCGAAACCUCCACAAUGCGCGAAAGCGUGAUGGGGUUAUCCCGAGUGCCGUCCGAUGAGGAUGGCUUUUAAUCGAUGUAAGGAUUCGAUAGAAUAAAGGGGGGGCAAGACUGGUGUCAGCCGCCGCGGUAAUACCAGCCCCCUGAGUGGUAAGGACGAUUAUUUGGCCUAAAGCGUUCGUAGCCAGCUUAUCAAGUCUUUUGUUAAAUCCAACGAUUCAAUCGUUGGGCCGCAAAAGAUACUGUUAUGCUAGAGGACGGGAGAGGUCGACGGUAGUCCAGGGGUAGGGGUGAAUCCUAUAAUCCUUGGAGGACCACCAGUGGCGAAGGCGGUCGACUAGAACGUGCCUGACGGUGAGGGACGAAAGCUGGGGGAGCGAACCGGAUUAGAUACCCGGGUAGUCCCAGCUGUAAACGAUGCGGGCUAGGUGUUGGGGCAGCCACGAGCUGCUCCAGUGCCGCAGAGAAGUUGUUAAGCCCGCCGCCUGGGGAGUACGGCCGCAAGGCUGAACUUAAAGGAAUUGGCGGGGGAGCACCACAGGGUGAAGGCUGCGGUUUAAUUGGAGUCAACGCCGGA
rnacentral:rRNA from 1 species